GCGGAGGAGGAAAUGGCGAGGCAACGUUCUACACGGAAUACGUUCCAUCGGCUUGCUAUGGCUUCGAUCGCGGGCCCUUUCCAGCCGGAAAUUUGAUCGCGGCAGCCAGCCCCGAUAUCUUCAAUGGCCUCUGCGGCGCCUACUUCGAUAUCACUUGCAAGGGCGCGGUCUCUGGCGCUGGAGGAUGCCGGUCGAACGACGCUACAGUCACCGUCCGGGUCGUGGAUCUCUGCCCGGGCUGUCACGCUAAUUCCUUCGAUCUCUCUUACGAAGCCUUCACCCGCAUCGCGAAUCCGGAUGUUGGGCGAAUCCGGAUCUUCUCCCAGAGGAAGAAUGGGGCGGGAAUUGGCCAGGAAUUCAUCGCCCAAGUGGUCGGAUCGACAAACUCCACCCAAGAGCCCAGUAAACGCUGAAUUUUCACUAAUUGGUAAUUUUCUUUUCCAUUUACCUCUAACUCUUAGUAAUUCUUACCUCCACGAAAUGAAAAAGGGUUGGUCCAAGGGGAGAGGGAGAGGGUUGGUUCCUCUAGUGUUUGGUAGGACUACCUCCAUACACCACCCACUUCUUCAAAUUGCUGGAAUAUAUAUUGUAGUUCAAAAGAUUUGUAUAGAAAACUAGAUUAAAAACAAAAUAGUAUUUGUCCACAGUAA